GGGGAAUUUUGGACAAUGGGCGCAAGCCUGAUCCAGCCAUGCCGCGUGAGUGAAGAAGGCCUUCGGGUUGUAAAGCUCUUUCAGACGGAAAGAAAUCUCUUGGGCGAAUACCCUGGGAGGAUGACGGUACCGUAAGAAGAAGCACCGGCUAACUACGUGCCAGCAGCCGCGGUAAUACGUAGGGUGCGAGCGUUAAUCGGAAUUACUGGGCGUAAAGCGUGCGCAGGCGGUGAUGUAAGACAGAUGUGAAAUCCCCGGGCUCAACCUGGGAACUGCGUUUGUGACUGCAUCACUCGAGUACGGCAGAGGGAGGUGGAAUUCCGCGUGUAGCAGUGAAAUGCGUAGAUAUGCGGAGGAACACCGAUGGCGAAGGCAGCCUCCUGGGCCAGUACUGACGCUCAUGCACGAAAGCGUGGGGAGCAAAC
rnacentral:rRNA from 1 species